GCCGGGGUAGCUCAACGGUAGAGCGCCUGAUUGUGGAUCAGGAGGCCAAGGGUUCAACUCCCUUCCUCGGUA
rnacentral:tRNA from 1 species